AAUACUGCUUUAUUGGAUAGAUAACCGCUAGCGGUGGCGUCAAGUAAAUUUCCACCCAGAGUCUGCAUGCCACUCAUUCGGGCGAUUUACAGCACAAAUGUCGUCAGUUUAUCAAUCUGAUGGUGCGGAUCAGCAGAGUGAAUUUUGCCGUGACAUGGUGAUGAGGGUCACAUCUAACGGUUGGUGCGCGAAAAAUGAUCUAAACUCGAAUGGUGCUCUCGGAAACGGGUCGAGCUAAAGGAGAUGAAAGACUUUCAUACUUGUUGUGGUUAAAAAUCGAAGCAGUUCAUAUUGUGGUUAAGUAUGUAAAUUAUAAUCUGAAUUCGGGUCGCGUGAUGAAUCUAUGAAUUUUCAAAUGUGAAAAGGUUUUUAUCUAUUCUACAUGCUAAAUAGCGGCCACGCUCUUGAUACAGAAACUAACCACAUUCUUGAGUUCAAACAGAAACACUCUUUGUACGAAAAUGACUGUAGGGGACAAAUAAGCGAUAACCCUUCUGUUAUAUUAUUUUCCUGUUAUCAAAAGACAAUCCACAAAACCAAAUAGGUGUAAUUCGUCAUGUCAGAAUAUUUGCUAUGCAAAUUCCCGGAAUAGCUGUAAAUCUCAACGAGCAUCGAAAACAUACCAACACAUACAUUUCGUCUGAGCUGCGCUCGUUUUCAUCAUAUAUAAACAUUGUUUAUCCAGAUAGAAAGUUGGUUACGGACUGUCACUACAUGCCACUUACCCUCUUUGUCAGCUGGGUGUCCAUCAUGAAGUUGUGCACAUGCUUUUCCGCUCGCGUCAACUCUAGUUUUCUCGAUACGACUGCCACUAGCAGGGCCGUACAGCCAGCUCCCUGUCGAGUGUAUGUGUGUAUGUGUGAACCGAAUGAGUUGAUUGCAUCCCAGGGUACGGGUUUUCCGACGAGAUGCACCGUUGGUUUUGGAUUCCACCGGAUGUCGGGGGAGUUCCGAACCAUCGGAGGAAGACCACAUCCAGUGAUGGCCAGCGUACGAAUGUGAGUGUUGUUUUGGUUGGACGACGAAAAUUGCAGAUCCAGGGUGUAUGGUUUGAGAGCAGAAAAAAAAAAAACGGAAAGCAAAGCAUGUUUUGUGCCAGUCAUCGAAGCCAGGCGAUUGAAAAUUGGAACUGCCGGCAAAACUUUCUUUUGUGAAACGAAGUAUGUGACUUCAAAGAAUAAAAAAUAUCUCCCGACGUUGGUUUUGGUUCAACUUAGACGGAUUGGAUUGCGAGGGGAUUUUGAACAUACAUUUAGCUAACUUCAAAACCAUUGACACCGAUCGGUAACGAGUGUGUUUAGCAUUGCUAUAUUUCAAUCUCAUAUAUUUGUUGCUAUAAAAUAUCCCUUGAAAUUAAUCUUUCUAAUGAAACAAAAAUUAAUUCCAAAAACUUUCAACUUCAUGAGUUGUCGAAGCCGCAAUUUGCGUUCCCGAAAUUCCAAUAAAUUUGGAAUAAAGAUUUCAUCACUCUAGAGUAAAAUUAAUUUCAUUCACAUUGAUUGCAUUUGUAUCGCUGUAGAAAUUGAAUGCUAGGUAAACGAAUGUUGGGUGAACAAAAAACAAUCUGUUGAUUGAAGCGGACGCGUGGUCUUUCUUAAAAGUGACAGUUCAUAUCAGUUACCGUAUUUGCAGUUACCUUCUUCAAAAAUUUCAGGAAUAAAACAAUUUCUCGGUCGGUCGUGCAAGUAGAUAAUUAAUUUACAUAAAGAAAAGGAACUGUCUUUUAUAAUAAUAAUAAUAAUAUAUUCUUAUACCAUUUCAAAUAAGCAUGCUACUGUCUACACUUCUUUUUUACGGUUUUUAUUUACGUGAAAUUUAAGAGUAAUACAAUUUCUCGAAAUAAAAUGAAUUCUUUUC